rfam:Triticum urartu cultivar G1812 contig1222771, whole genome shotgun sequence.
ACCCACACAGCACGGGCGUUAUGCAUACCAGUGAGGAUUCGUCCGAGGUUGCAUUUUUGCUAGUUGGUAAGUCUCCAUGCCCUCGAUCCGCCUCGCACUCGCACACGCAACUGACUCUCUUUGACAGAAAACUAUCAGCUGACCACUUCUGUUGGUCUUCGGAUCAGCAGGGAAUUUUUGGAACCCUUUCCGACUG